UGCCACGCUUAGCAGCAACAAUGACUGCAUUCAUCAAAAUCCCCCGAAAUCCACCCUUUUCCAGUUCAUGAAUACCAGCAAUUGUAGUACCCCCGGGUGAUGCAACAUCUUCCUUGAGCUGACCGGGAUGCUUGCCCAUUUUAGAGGCCAUAGAUGCUGCACCCGACACCUGAAAAUGUACCAGCAAAACAUUCAACCUUCAAAAUGAAUGAAAGCCAGUGCAAGCCACUGAUAAUCCAAGCAGACAUUCAUACAGGAACCAAAGCAGUCUCUCCAUGCUAGGUUUCUGAAGUUGAAAUUGUGCAUACCUGUUAAAAUGAUUAAGGUAUUAACCAAGCAAAAGUUGUUAAGUUAGGAAUAAAACUAGUGCGGUCCAUAAUCCAGUAUUAAUGUGACUUCAAUCAACUCUCCUGCCACAGUGUACAAACUGCUACUGAACUCUAGAUAAGUAUAGAGGCAAAGGCAUAAAGAACAGACAUGAUAACCUAUCUGCGUUAUGGCUUUUGUAAGGAUGGGGCCAUUUCAACAUCCAAAAAUAGCUAAAAACACAACCUUUUUUGUUGAAUGAACCAAAAUAUCCUUGAAUCUAAACAAGCCCAUCACCACACUGAAUUUCUACCAAUGGCAAUCACAAGCGCAUCCAUGAACUGAGUAAGAAAUUGAUUAGAUAGUUGCCAACCAUCAUUGGCUGAGCUCCAGUUGCUAGAGGUAGAUCAAUUAUCUAGACAUAUGAUGCAGAAACCCUUUGCAUAUGGGUUUUGUGGAAAUAAAAUGAGUAAAUGGUAAGGUUAGGAAUUUUCUAUAGAAUACGUUAAGAGCCAAGAGCGACGAAGGCUGAAGAGAGAGUAAGUAGAGGUCAGUAGAAUGUAAUGGACAGUUGUGCAAUAUGAAUCAAAUUACCAAAAUGAAAAUGGGAAGUAGAACUAUGUUUCAAAACCCUAAGUGCACCACCCGUACUUCACUAUUAGAUGUCCACUGUGUUUGUCCAAAUUCAUUAUUGGAUGACCUAUAUUAUGUAGUAUUCCACAAACUUUGCAUUCCAAAAAGUGACAUCCAUCUUCUCAUUUUUCUUGUUUUUUAGCUCACUAGAACAUCCAUCUCUGUCGAGGGUGUUCAUUUAAGCUAUCAAUGGAAGAUGACAAGUGAGAAAUAUAUGAAAAUAAAAGAGGCAGUGGCACUUUUAGACUGAAUACUACUUGCAAAUGAAUUUAAGCUUAAGUGAGCGAGAGUGGAGAGAGAGAGGAACUGGAAUGGAAGAUAGAUACCUGUGUUUGAAAAGGAAAAUCUCUUUCUUGUGGGCCUUUUGGUAAAUCAAGUUCAAGAGACUGUGUACUAAGCUAUUCUUGGUGUGGAUUUAGACCCAAACUUUCUCGAACUAUAAUUAUUGGAGUAGCCAGAGCACUCUAUGCAUGUAACUCAAAAACAUAAGUUCUUCUAAUUGGUUCCCUUCAUAAAUGUUAUUUAAAGAAAGCAAAGAAGAUUAAAUAUGUAAUCAUAUCGUGCAACACAAAAAAGUCAUCCUGCCAGGGAAAAAGGCACAAGCCUAUGAGAAAGCAACUCUAUUAGCAAAUCCUCAAUUUCAUGGCAUAUAACAAAAUAAAAUCUAUUAGGAUGACGACUCCAUCUCAAAAGAAGGUCAAGUGAGGAUUUCUCAAGGACUUCCUCAUAGCCUAAGCACAGGCUGCAUCGGAGCAUCUGACUACAACUCUGAAGUGUCACAAUCUCUCAUUACCAAAACGGUAAUGUGAUUUUAUGCAUGAUAACCUACCGUUUGAGAAGCUAGACCUAACGCAAGAUCUCUUGGAAGACCUGCAGCAACUCCUCCAUCAGCCAGAGGUUCUAUUGCUAGAAAGAUAUACACAUGCUGGGCCACUGCCAAACUCUAAGUCAAACUGAAAUCUCACCACACUUGUAUACAAAACCUUCACGGAAGUACAAGGGAACUGAUGCUUUAAAAGCUAUUGCAAAUACCUCAGGCCAGUAAUUGCAUUGAAAUAUUUUUCAUCAGCUUUCCACAUCUUGCCUAUAGAUCCGAUUAAAAUAGCAAUGAGUUCUGCAUCCUCUUCUUUCACUGCUCCUCCCCGACUCAUAACUAUUCAACAUAAAGGACAUUAGAGAAUCUCAUCGUAAUUCUAUCUUACGAAAUUAGACAAUAACAUGGUUGAAUCUGACAGAUCACUUUGGAAAUUUAUCUUACAAAAUAAGUAAUUGUAAUUCCACAUGUUAUCAGGGCAACCUCCAGUUUAAAAUAAAGUGAUACAAUGAAAGGGCAGAACUCCACUUGCAUUAACUAUACUGCCAUAGUAUCGGUAGAACAGAUAACAGGAGUAAUCCAUCCUGACCACAUCAUGACAGUGCCAUGGAUUAUAUCUACUCUGCAAGUAUCAUGGAAACCUGCUGACUAGAUUUUCUUCUUUCCUGAUGAUUAAUAAGAAGAUAGCAUCACAAAUAAUUCUCACAACACUUGAAACCUCAACAUCCAAAGAGAAACUUCUAUUUUGCACAUUUUCAUAUUAUGAAACUAUGGUAAUUUGAAUGUAACUUAGCCAAGCAAAGUUACUAAAGGAAGCCCUUCACUUUUCAUCAUUACAAUUGAUUGCAAAUACUCAGGAAAAGAACUCAAUAUUCUGAAUCCAGCUUGUGGAACUUAACAACUAAAAACAUCAAAUUAAGAAGGUUUGAUGCUUCAUUUAACUCCCUGCAGCUAAUGGACAUGACCAAGUCUUCAACUAAAUAAGAAGAUUAUGGAAGUAAAUCAACAAUUCCAAUGUUAAAGCAAUUUCGUUUUUCUGACGAAGCAACACAAUCCAUGAACAGAAAUUAUUUAUCAUCCAGAAAGACUUGUAUGGUUAAAAAAGUCAAUUUCUACAUGAGAUGAUUAAAGGCCAAAACAGCAUUGGCUUUCCAUGCAUACAAGGAAGACCAGCAAACAACUAGUAUAUACAUAACCAGAUGCAGCCUCACCAACAGCAGCAGGAGUAUUCGGCAUCACAUGGAUAAAUCAAUCAUGGCCAGCCCAAUCCUAGGAAAAAGGAAAGCAUACUCACUCUAGGCAGUUCAAAAACAGAUAAUUCAUAAAAUUAGAUGAAAUGGGAACCAACAGCGAACACCCCAAUUAUGGUAUUCAAUUCGAAAUGAUAAUUAAUAGAAAAGGGUCCAUAGAUAAGGAUUCUUCAAAGAAUCAAAGUUUCAUUAGAAAAAGUUUACUAUCACAACUAUAAACUGUCCGUCUGGAAAACUACUAUACAGUAACAUAACACACCUGAACGUUUUGUUUCUUUACCUAGCAUCAUUUUUAUAAUCUAUUUAAAAAGCCACACGGAAUUUUACACUGAAAAUCCCAUCCCAUUAUUGAGGUAUUCCUAAGUGUUGUUAAAUCUAAGUCAUGAUUACCAAUAAAAGAUAAUGUUAAUCCAUGGUUCAUGUUGCACCCCCUAAAUUCACAAAAAUGGCUCCACAGGACAUUUAAUAGAUUGCUCAAAUGAGAAAUUGACCCCUAGACGACAUAUUGAAUGAAGAUAACAAAUUGUAGAAACAUCAUUCCAAUUUCUUCUAGUCAAACCAAGGAAGUCAUAUAUAUUAUAGGAUCAAAAAAAUGGUAGAGGAGGAAAUAAGGACGGCAGAGAUGCAGUCUUCAGGGAUUCAAUGAUGUGAAUUGAAAGAGCCUCUAAUCCUCAAUGGCAUUGUAUAAGAUAUUCCCAUACCAUGAAACUUGAGACAAGAACCAAAAACUUGAUGCCAAUAAAAAGGACAGUGGGGACAAAAACCAACAAAUCCUUCAAUUUUACUCUGGCAAAUACUGAGACCAAAAGCUGCUUCUUUGAUAGUAGUGGCCUCAACUGAGAGACAACACCUUUAACUAGAGAAAGAACAACAAAAGUUAAUUAAAAAAUAUUCCAAAUAAUUUAUACUAGAAGUAACAUUUUCAGCAAUGAGGAAGAUGCACGACCUCUAGAACCAAAAUCCAUACUGCCUUUGAAAUCAAAUAUCUAUUGAAACAUCCUCCUCCAGAUUUUAUCAUCACUUAGUAAAAAUACAGAAAAAUAUCGUAAUUUUUAACUUCUAUGGACCAUUGACGGUCAUCGACAGAAUUAUAUUGUCCCUAUGGUGAGAAUGUGUUGUAGAAAAGCAUGCAAUCAUCACCACAAAAUUUAUGAUAAAGAAAAGUUAAGGCCAAUUCAUCCAAAAUCUGAUGAUAACUGAGAUGAACUAGCAUGUUGUGAAAUGUUCUGCUGCUACCACCUCAAAGCUGAAGAACACUGGUGGCUUAAAGUCGUAUUGACCAAACACAUGCUUUCAUCCCAUUAUUGAAAUUUGGGAAAAUGAAAGACAAGCAAAGUGGCAAACUGAGCAACAAAGUACAAGUUUAAGUGUUAUAUACCAACUUGGGGUUUCACUGAGAAGAUGACCACAUCACCAUCUUCAACUACCUGCUUUCAUAAAAUUUGAGUUUCUUUAUGAUAAGGGGAACAAGCGACUCAAGAUUAAAAUCGUCAAGAAACCCCAGGAGGUAGAACAACUAGCAGUCGUUCAUCCACUCAUUUCUCACAUCCACAAACAAGAAGAAAAAUAAUAGUAGUAGGUCUACUGAACCGCAAGCCGUACAACUGCUAAACCAACUUGCUUGCUCUCUUUCUAUGGAGAAGAAUUUAACAUAAAAUAUAAGAAGAGAUUUCGCUGUCUGAAAGACCCGGGCAAGACAUUGGAUUUGCUCAAGAAGUUGCUCGAGCAGACAAGACACGCAAAUUGUCAUUUUCCACCCAAUUAACUUACACAAACCAAUGCCGGCAACUAAAGGAUGAAGCAACAGCCUGAAUUUUUUCGCCGUGAGCAAAUGCAAAAACCCAGAGGCAGAGCUAGGACAUCGAAUUCUCAUAAUAAAGAUUUUGAGCUGUUCAGCAUUGAAUAUCAAUGUCGUUCCAAUAACGAAACUAGAACCCUGUAAUCGUAACACACCGAGGCAGAGCGCGGGGCAGCAAAUAUACGUCAUGGCAAAGGCAAAGCUCGCACCUUUUUCACGCCUAUUCCAUAAAAACUGAAACUUGACGCUAAUUACAUCGACUGCAUUCUCCCCAGGCGGUCCGAAGAUCCGAUUAUUUCACAUUCCUUUACAGCUUCCCAUGAAAGAGAGAGAGAGAGAGAGAAAGAGAAGGGAUACGCAACAGCUUGACAUUCGGAGAGGACUGGGACGCCGAGGGAUUCGAAUGCGGCGCCUCGGCUCGGGUUGGUGUGAGCGGCGGCGCGAAUCCUGGAUGCCGGCAAGACGCCGGGCUUGACCACCCCCUCGCGAUGGACUCCGCCAUCUUGCCGGCUCCGAUGAACCCGAGCUCGUACGUCUCCGCCGGUGUCGGCGGCGCCACCACCUCCAUUGUCUCCUGCGAGUUUGCUCUCCCGAAACAGGGGGGCUCCCGCCGGGUCCAACCUUAAGAGUGCUGACCGCCGCUAGCGGCCGCCGUCGCCGGAGCGGCCUUUUGUUCGAGAAGACGACGCCGGGGAUCAUCGGGCUUCGGUGCGCCGGGGCAGAUUCUAGUGGGCCGAGCUUUUAUGGGCCGGACUGAAGCCGACCUUCCUGUUCUCGGCCCAAAUAGUCACCCUUUCUUCAUGUUGAUGAGAAAGGACAUGGUGGUUGUUGUCAAAUUAUUGGUUUGUUUGUCUAAAACUAAAAGAAAAGGGGAAAGCCUACUAAAAAUCUCAAAUUUUGCCUAUUAUAACAUAUUUACCCUAAACUAUUUGUGUCAAAAACAAGUCCUGCCUGCCUUCCCAUCAUCUUCUUGAAUGGAAGAUCGCUCUAGUAACGAUAGCUACUCACAGCGAUCAGCACUCUCAUAAAGCAUAUGCUACUAGGUCAAGCUUUUAUGGGCCGGACAGCUGGCCUUCUUGGUCUAGGUCCAAAUUGUCACCCUUCCUUCACAUCGAUAAGAAAGGAGAUUGUGGUUGUUGUCAAAUUAUCGGUCCGUUUGUUUAAAACAAGCGGAAAAAAAAUCAUAAAAAAAAUCCCAGAUUUUGUUCAUUAUGACAUAUUUACUCUAAAAUAUUUUUUGUGACGCCAAAAAUUCUAGAUUUUUACUCGGGUGACAUUAUAUUUUCUUCUAUAUAAAUAUGCUUAGAAUCCCAUAUGUUGUCUUAAGGGCUGAACUUAGGUGCUUGGAUAUAGUUUUACCCUAGAAAAAGUGGGAUUUAUCUCAUUUGUUUGUAGCUAGAAUAUAGUUAAUGGAUGCAUGCAUUCUCCUUAUUAUAUGAUAAUUCUUUUCUGUCCUUUUUCAUUUUUUUUCCACAAAAGGAAAUGUCCAAUCUUGAGAAACUACGUCUUAUGUGUCAUUUUCGUGUUUCCCAUGCAUCCUUCACAACAAUCUAUGCCCUAAAGCAAAACCUACAUCAAAGUUGCUUGCAUCUAGCUCUCUAGGUGCUAUGUUUGCUGCUAAGAGAUUUUGUCAUCAACAAAAGAAAGAUGUCAAGGCUAAUGUCCGAGUGUACACAGAAUUUCUAGAGUUGCUUAGUGCUUGUAUUAUGUGUCUUGGCGUUUUCUUCAACAAAACCCUUAUGACUAAUUCGAAGAUGCAACGGCGAUUUUCCCAUUCAGGAGGAGGCAAUUCUUGGGUAAAGCCAACUGUCUUCAAAUAAAUUAUGCUGAAAAAAAGGAAUUAGUUGAAUAAUCUCCGAAGUUCUUGUGACUAUUACUUCCUAUUUUUCAUUACUGGUCGUCACUAUUACUAUAUGAAUCUAGAGAUAUGAACUUCAUCUCUGUUGCAGUAUUUGCACUUUCCUUUCAAAAGGAAAGACUGACCAGAGUUGAUAGGGCAUCUAUAGUUUAUUAAGGUUUAUUACAUAUUUUAAUGAGAUAUUUAGUUCAUGCCCUUAAGUAUCUCUUGGACAAUUCUCCUCUGCGAACCAAACAAUUCUCUUCGUGUGCCAAAGCUUCCCCCACUUUAUUUAUGUCUGAGAAGUUGAUACAAGUCUCACAUGCAAACACAAAGAAAGGUCAGAUUAUUUGAAGCAACUAACAAGAAUGUGGAGAAAAAAUUGAAGAACCCAAUGCAACAUCAUUUGCUUGUAUAAAAGUCAAUUAAAUAGUUAAAAAAGAUGGUGAAAAAAAAAAUCGUUUACAGCCAAACGUAAUCAUAAAAGAUCCUAUAUACAUCUAGACAAUAACUUGACCACGUUCAUAACAUCCUAAUAUUUUAAAUGUACAGGUAUGACAAUGCAUGUUACUAACACAUGUAAGAAAUUUUUUACAAAAACGAUGAUUUAUUUACUAAACUACAUAUAUAUUGAGGGUGGAGAUGAGAAGAUCACUUCAUGGUGACAAGCACUUUGCGAAUGUUCACUGCUUGUGUAAAUAUAAACAUACGGUUGAGAGUUAGAAAGCAAUAUGCUUUGGAUGGCUCUUAUCUGAGUGCCUUUGUGAUAGCAUUUGGUCAAAUCUUUUAAAAAAUAAAUAGCAACUAUUUUUUCCCACCAAAAUUUAAAAUAGAAAAUUUCACGAAAACUAUGAAAAAGUUAUACGUGAAUCUACAGGUCAAUAUGAGUAUAUUAUUAAAUUUCGAGUGUUCUCAAUUUAAGAAAAAAGUUAAUGUGCAUCUAUUGCAGAAUUUAGAUCAAGUUAUCCGCACACUCUAAACUUCUUAAUGCUUGAGAGCUCAGAUCUAGCUAUGACCAAAAUAUCCGCAUAUUAUGUGUUUCGAUAUGCAAAAGGACAGCUUAUAUGUGCGGGAGAUUCCUAAUAUGCUCAACAUACAUAAUGAAAUUGUUUCUAGAUAGUUUACAAUUUUGGGAUAAAUGACAACCUCAAAAGAGUAAAUAAAGAAUUAAAAUAAUUUGAACUCCAGUGUAGUUCAAGAGAUAAGAGUAUUUGUUGUUCUCGAUUAAAGUUUGUGCUUAAUUUCUUUCCUUGUUUUUUUUCCCCUAGGCCUCGAUUCAAACAAUAACACUUAUGCAAUAUCUUUGGGGGCACCUAUAGAAACAUUGGCAUUGGCUAUGUGCUCCAAAAAUUAUUGGGUAAACGUGCAUGUUCUGUUAGCGAUGAUACAUGGAUCGAAAUUACAUGGUGCCGAGGGUAUAUGUCCCAAUUCUGUUAUUCCUGAAAAAUUUUGAUCGAAAAUCACCUUUCCAAAUGCUAAAUAUCAUCAUUUUUCUUGAAAAUAUGUGCAAACAUUUGGCAUGGUCAUAAUAAAGUAGAGAAAUAAUAUCAUCAUGAUUUAACAUAGAUUACUAAUCAAGAAAAUGCCUGCAUUUUGAUAUAUGACCAUCGAAAUUACAAGUCAUGCAAAUUUUUUUUUUUCAAACAAUAGGAAAAGACACAUGACAAAUUCAACAUUCCCAAGGGGCUUUCAGUCCUGAAAGCCCAUUGGAAAAAAAUUUAGGUGUUUGGUUCAACAUUUGGAGGUAUCAUUAGUUAAAUGCUAGUCUUUGAAAUGCUGAAAGUGAAAUGCUAAAAGCCCAAAGCAGGUGGGGACCUGCUUUGGGCUUUCAGCAUUUUGGAAAUGCAAGUCCACCUCUACUAUUCAUCCGUUGAUUUUUUUUUUUUAAAACCGAUCAUCUUCCCCACAUCCCAAUCGCCGUUGAUCAGCGACGGAGUUUCAUUCGAUUUUAUUUUUAUUUUUUUAAAAAAUAAUAAAAACCUUUACAAAUGUUGGGUUCACCUUUUUCUUUUUUUUUUGGUCAUUUUUAUCUUUUGACAAUCAAUAGCCCAAUUUUUAUUUUUUUUAUCAAUACCCUAGAAUGAUUAUUAAUUAACGAAGAUGAUUAAUACUACAAUAAUUAAAAAAAAUAUUCAAAGUUGAAAACAAAUCUAAAAGAACCCUAGGCCAAAAGUUAAGCUUUGCAUAUAAUUUAUAAUCAAAUUCUUUUAAUAUAAUUUUUAAAUAAAUUUACUAAUAUAUAUCUUUUACAUUACUCACAACAUGAAAAUAUAAAAGAUUAUAUAGUCAUUGUUUCUUUUUUACAAUUUCAAAAAUAUUAAAACUAAAAAACUUAAUUUGGUCACACUAAAGGGCUUUUCAAAUAUAUGUUUACCAAACAGUCUUGCAUUUCCCUAAACAUUUUCAGUUAUAGUUUACCAUACAGUCUAGCAUUUUGGAAAACUUCUUUACCUUAAAGGUAUUUGCAUUAUUCCAAAGGCAUUUCCCCAAAAUCGAACCAAAUGGGCUCUGAUCAUUCUUUUUUGGCAGGAAUAUCAUAGUUGUUUUAUGACGGAAUGAAUACUCAAACAUGUUCACAUAGCCUUUAGAAAGUGACACUGUGGAAUGGCAUUCCUGCUGCAUUAAGCUCUAAUCGAUUCAACAUUUAGUGGUGGUAAAGUAAUAUUCGGUGUGUCGAGAAUACGUGCUAAAGUUAAUAUGCUAAAUGCCACGUUAUGGUUAUUGGGUGUUUGAAGAAGUGAGCUAGGACAGUCCAACAAUAAACUUAGAUCCAUCGAAUCCCGCGCUACGUGCAAGUUAACCUUUCCUGAUAAACAUAAAUUACCAUUGCUCUCUCACUUCUUACAACUUCCACAAGCCAUUCCUUUCAAUUUUGGCAACUAGUUUUGCGUGAUCUACGAGUCAGGAAUUGUCAAACUUCGAGUAGGUCGAGCUCUCCCAAUAUUCCUCUUUCAUAUGCUUUUGGCAGUUGGAGGAUUUGUCCUAAAAAUAUGCUUUCGGAUGCAUUCCGGUUUACACUUCAUUCUCUUUUUACGGCAACUAUAGAUGUGAUUCUGUUUAUUGCCGAAAGGCGAUGCUUUCGCUCUUUUUAUCGGCACGGCGAAGCGUAAAGCAAGGUGCAGAAUUCUAAUAGGCCACCACAAAACUCGAAGUGUUCAAAUUGAUCUCGCCCUCGAAGAGAAUCGAUGUGCACCUUUUGAAACGAGAUAAAGUUGUAGACGUGGGAAUAUUGCCAGCCUAUAUACGAGCAAGCAAAACAUCACACUCUCAGCUUCAGUAAGUAAACACAAAGGGCUGCGAAAGGCACUAGUUUCUUUGUUCCUGCUCUCUCUUACCAGAUGCCCAAAUCAGAAGCCCAACAGAACCGACCCCCUCCGGGUAUUUUCCCACCCUGUUCUUGUCGACCUUGAUCGAAGGAUUGAUUUAUCGGAGUAAAAAAUGUUAAGGCCUAUUUGAAAGCUCAAGCUUUCCACCUCUUUUUUUUCUUUUUUGGUUUAAGGGUACCCGACAGACGACCCGCCACACCCCAGGAAAAGGAAGUUCUUUUGCUGCAGCCGCACGAAGAUGAAAGGAGACUAUCGAGAGAGGGACUCUCGAGAGAAGGCCAUUCGAGAGAGGAGCUUCAUAGAUGGAUGGUAAGCCAACGGAAUUCGCCUUCUUUGUUAGCUUCGACUGAAGAUAUGAAUCAAAUAUGCAUCAAUGAGCCAGAAAGUCCAAUCUCUAGAGAGUGUGACAGCAACCGCAUCACCAUUCAACAUUGCUUGUCUCUCCGCUAUUAUUCUAAGUUUUCAAACUGUUCUCUGAUGACUUGCUUUUGUUGUUCUUGACAAAUUCAGCAUGUUUGCCCUAUGCUGCUGCUGGCUCUGCCAGGAAUGUUGCGCCUACUGAGAGUAAGCGAUAGCUUUGCGGGAGAAUUUCAUCAAUCUUCCACUUGGAGCUUUUGUGCGCGCAUCACAGAGUGUAGAAGUUCGCUAUGGAUAGUGUGGUGUAAUUCUUCCUUAGAUAAAGGGGAUCAUUACAAUAUUUUCCCCCGGCACGAGCAGGUUAUUCUUGAUUUGCCAUUUAUAUUACGCCUUUUUUUCCCAAAUCCGACUGUUUCGUGCACAUUUUAGCAAACGAAAACGAGCAAACAACAGGCGAGAAAGAGGUAGGAGACAAACUGGUCAUGGACUAUCGUAAUUAGAGUGAUUCUUGAGACGACUGAAACUAAAGCAAAUAGCGAAAGAGAUUAGAUGGAAAUCAAACCGAAAAAGGAACGUAUUCUUCUGCUUUUGCUCCACUCCAUCGGCCAUCAGCAAUCGGCAUCAGGUUCAGAUGAUAUCCUUUCAGAAUCUUAUCAUGUGUGGCCGAAGAUGAUAUAUGUUGUGAAAUGCAAGCAAUUGAACAAUAUAAUAAACAGAGCAAGAAAAUAAAUUGACUAUCAGAUUUACAUGGUUCGGUUGUAGUGUAGCAACGAAUUUAUUAUAGAUCAAGCGUACAAUAGAGAUUACACACUCGAAUCACUCAAACACUCUUAGUAUUUUUCAAACCCCAAUUACACUCAAUAACUCACACAGUAUUUAGUCUCGAAAUUCAUUUCACGAAAUAAUCUUUCAAUUUUGUGGAAAGAAUUAUAAACAAAUUUUAACACAAGAUUUCAUGGUUCGAACACUGACAUAAUUCAUGCAUUCCCUCUGGACGUCUUCGCCCACCAAGCACUUGCGCACACGACGCUUCAAGAAAGACCUCAGGGCCACGGCAAGACUUGCUUUAUAUAUCUUGAAGAAAGACCCACAAAAAUAAGCCCUUGAAUUUUAAUAUCACCGCCACAGAGACGAAGUCUAAUUCGGUCACGUCUUGGUCAACAAAAGGAAACCAGUUGACCGACUAAUUUGCAAUUCAAGUCCACGUUCGAUUGCCAAUAUUAAUUCAAAGGCUUCAACAAUCCGACUAUAAGUCGGCGAUUGUAUUUCCUGCUCUAUUUUUCUUGGUGGAUUCCAAUUAGAUAUCAGCAAAUAUCUAACUUGGACUUUAACACCGAAAUAUACGUAAUUUCAUGGCACAAAUUCAAGACAUAUUUCAAUAGUAUCAACUACAAAAUAUUCUUAUUAGGCUUUUUGCGAUCUCAAUUCAAAAUGAAAGAAUUUGACGUUAUCAUAAUGAAGUCUAGAAAUAUAUUACCAUGGUUCUACAUCAUAUUACAAAUCUAAAAAUGCUUACAACAUUACAAAUCUCUCAUCUCAUUGUCAAAUUUUAGGGUUAAUAUCACAAAAAACCCAAAUCAAUAUACCUAUAACAAAUUUAUCUAAACUAAUAUUUCGACCAUAAAAAACCCCAAACUAAUGCACCUGUAACAAAUUCACUCCAAAAUAAUUUUUUAAGUACCAAAAAUCUUAAACUAGUAUGUUUGUGACAAAUUUACAUUCCAUUAGUUUUUGUUAAUUUAGAUUAAACAUGUGACAAAUAGUGGUAAAAUCCCAAAUUGGUAUACCCUUCAACUACCACAUGUAAUGCAACUUAGUAAUUUGAUAGUAAAAUUUAAUAAAAACUAAUUGAAGGUAAAUUUAUCAUAGUAUCACACCUCGAAUCUCGGGUAUGCGCACAUCCCUCGGUGGUCGAUCAAAUUGCAACGUUUUCAAGAUGCGUCGCCGACCCAUUCAAUUUAUGCACAUGCGGAAGCAAACUAAUAACUCUAGACAACAAUUAAACACAUGGGAUAGGAAAGCAAGACAACCAAUUAACACAAAACAUAUUUUAUAUGUGUUGACACCUGAUUUUUAGUCAACAUAUCAUUAAAACAUAAAAAAUCGAAAUUUAGGUUUCUGAUCGCAAUGGAACCCUAUCUCUAAAAAAAAUGUCAUUUUUCAUUUUUUUUUUCAUUUGCAUUGUCAUUUUUAAGUAAUUUUUAGCUCAUUUUCAAGAAAAACUCGAAAAGUCAAACAAUUGACUUUCAGGGACUUUUUGGUCAAUCCUUUGACCAAAAGUCAACCCGAGUCAAAAAUUAACUUUUUACCCAAAAAAAUCAAUUUAGCUUUAAUUUUACUUUUUUCAAAUCAAUUUCUCGAAAAUUCAAAGAUUUGACCAAAAAAUUAACCUUUUAAGAAAAAUCAACUAAAUAGUUGACUUUUGGUCAAACCUUUGACCCGAAAAAAUAAUAAAAACAAAAAAAAUCAACACUACAUUUCUUUCAAUACCAAUUUGACUUUUGCAUAAAAAAUUUCACAAAAUUCGAUUAAGAACCUUGAUUUCUGAAUUUUUUAGUUUUAGGUUCUAAAUCGACCAAAAAUAAAAUUACUUUUAUUCUAGUCAUAAUUAGGUGUAGUUCCAUCUUUGACAUUUGGUUUAGAAACUAUUUGAAAUCUGUUUGAGCAUUCAAUUUUGCAAUUUACCGAGUCAAAAUACGAAUUGCCGUUUUGAGCCCUAAUUAGGGAACCAAAAUCGAUCCUUCAUAACUUGCAAACGGACGAUUGUUUCUCACUCAUUUUCUUGAGAUAAGUCCAAAUUUGAGAUCAAUUUUGUGAAAUUCACACAAGAACUCAUCAAUUUGAAAAAUUUUAUCUUCACAAGCAUUAAAAAGUCAAGCAAUUAAGCUUCAAUUGACAAAAUUCAAAUUUACACAUUCAUGGCUAUGGUUUAAUUUCAUAAAUCUAGGUCCAAUUUUAAUAUUAGGCUUAGAUCCAUCUUUGACCUAAGUUUGAGCAUUUCAAUUCAAAUUCAAUUUGAAUGUGGUAAGUGAUCUUACCUAUGGGUAGCUCACUAGGUAGGACAAUUGUGACACUAAUUGAGUUCAAUUUUAGUUAAUUUACAAAUUUGUCCGUUGAAUUGCCAAUUUUACCAUUUUAACCCUUUAGACCCAAUUCAAAGCACCCAUGGUUUCGACUCUCUCUUUUUUUCAUGAUAAUCAUUCAAUUAGGUCAAUAAAAGACCCCUAGAUCACAUUAAUAAGGUUUGGUUAGCUUAAUUGUAUCUUAAAUGGUCAAUUUUUUCAUAAAAAAGAUGAAAUUCAUUUUCAAUUAGGUCUUUUAGGGGUCAAAUUGCAUAAUUUUUUGAACGACAGGGGUCCCAAGUGGACAAAAGAGUAGAAACCAAACCAAACCGGUCAAGAACUGGUCAAAAUCCGGCUGAACCAGACCAAACCGGUCCGGCUGGUCUAACUGGCCGCCGGCGGGAUUGGCCGGUUCGGGCCCUUAUCAGCCAGUUCUUGGCCUUCGGCCACUGGUUUUGGAACUCUCUUAAUCCCAAUUUCACUUCUACACCUUCAAUUUCUCAAAAUUUUACAAAUUGAUUCUUGAAUUUCGUCAAAUUGCAAAUUGACCCAUAAUUAGACAUUUGGACACAAUUCCCAAUUUUAGCUUGAUUUUUUGUAAAUCAAACCCACUAGAUCAAUUACCCAACAUCUCAAUAUCAUAAUGGAGCCUUCGAAAUGGAUUUUUGACCGUUGGACCGAGAUUUUGGCCGUAGGAUCGAACCGACAGCCAAAAUCGCUUAAUGUGGGAAUAUAUAAGUGAAAUAUCUUCUAUUUUCAGCAUAGAAGCUUCAUUUGCAUGAAUUUUCUCUCUCUCUCUCUCUCUCUCUCUCAUUUCUCCCUCUGAAACCCCACCCAAACAGCUCAAUCUCUCUCUGUCUCUCUGUCUCUCUCUGUCUGUCUAUCUCUCUCUCUCUUCGUUUUGGUUUAUCUCUUGGACCAAUUCUUCUUCUUUUUUUCUUGAGCUAGUGGUUCAAUUGAUCCCGAUCCAAGCUGUAAUGACUUGAUCUACAUUCUUGGAGUCCCAAUCGUGAUAUGGUGAUUUGAUCUUACUAAUUGCGAUAGAAACCGAUGAAAAUCGCGACAAAGGUAAUGAUUCAAAACUUAAAUCCUAUUAAGCGAGAUCGAGUUAGUCGAUCGGGACAAGGAUUCAAGAUUAUGAGCUUUUACAUGCUUAAGAUUGAUGAGUAUGAAUGCUGCAAUGAGUUGUUGAUGAUUUGAAUGAUGAUUGUGAUUUUAAGCCUAAUCUGUGAUUUUCGUAGGCCUGUAUAUAGGUUACUUCUUUGGCCAAAACGAGGUUCGAAACGACCUCGUUUCAGCUUGAGUCCUCUUAAGAUUAGAUUGUAGACAUUCCAAGCUUUGAAAUGAUAGGUCACACGUUCAAAACAGCUAUGGUUUGGCUCUCAAAAACACCUCCAAAGAUUAACGAUUCUGUAGUAGUUUAGGUUUUUUUUUUUUUUUUGUUCUGAUCUGGUUCCGCCUUCUGACUUUGUUAUUUUUGUGCCGACUUUCAUGACCAUUUUUUUGAUAAAGUUUUCUACAUAAGUUUUGUUCCAAAUCACAUCAUGUAUCUUCUGUAAUUUUUUCAUGAUUUUUAGAUGUGUUUAACUAGGUCAGAUCUAUUUAGAUCUAGGCUUAGGUCAAUUUGUUCUAUAUCAAUCUCUGUUUUUGCUAUUUUGUGCUGAUUUUUAUGUUGAGUUCUGGAACAACUUUUCUUCAUGAAAGUUUCUUGUACAAGUGUUGUGCAUCUUUUUUAUUUUAUUUUUCUAAAUUUUUGGACAUGAUUAGCCAGGUCAAAAUUGCUUAGAUCUAGACAUAGGUCAAUUUGUCCUAUAUUAGUCCGAGAUUUAUUUUAGUGAAUCUGUGUUUUUGCUAUUUUUGUGCUGAUUUUUGUGCUAAUUUAUGAAACAACUUUCAUUCAUAAAAGUAUAUUGUACAGGUGUUGUGUAUACCCUGUAUUUUUUUUCAAAAUUUUUAGACAUGAUUAGUUAGGUCAAAAUCACUUAGAUCUUGACAUAGGUCAAUUUGUUCUACAUUAGUACGACAUUUGUUUUGGUGAAAUUGAGUCCAUAAAUGCACUUUUGGUCUCAAAUUCUUCAUAAAAUUGAAAUACAUGUAUAUAUAUAUAUAUAUAUAUAUAUAUAUAUAUAUAUAUUCAAUUGGUACAUGCUUUGCAAGGUUUUUACUUUGGUAAUGUAAAUCAAUUGCAUCCAUUAGGGUAAAAGGUACUGCAGCAACUUGUGUUGCACAUAUAGUGUGAUAUGUUUUGUCAUUUUUAUCACGAUUCAUAUAAUCUUAAUUGAGUUUUGAUCUCUUAAUGAGAAAUCUUCAUCACUAUAUGCUCUGUAUGUGAGAUUUUUGAUAGGAAUUAUGCAUGUCUUGAAAAUGGUUGAAAUCACGCUUGUUCUGUAAACUUAAUACUGAAAUGAAACUUUGUCAUAUGUGCACAUUCACGUGCUUAUUUGAGUCAUUUAGGGAUCAAAUUUCAUAAUCAUGCAUUCUUGAUGAUUCAACCACAUGUUACAAGGUUUGCAUACGAAUUUAGGUAAUGUCAUUUGAGUUUCAUCUUGCACAUUAAAUUGUCUCACAAAAAGUGUUCAUCAUACUUAGAAUUCCCAAGCAUAUAAUUAGAAAUCAUGAAUAAUCUUAUAAUGUUAUUUAAAUUGUAUGACAUUUUGCAUGCCGACUUAGGAUUAUAUGACUAUCCAAACUUUCCGUCGCAUCCAAUUCUAAAUCUAGCGUGAUUUCUUCAUGCCAUUUGGGCAUUUUUUGGAGUGAUUUUAAGGUUUUCUAAUGAAUGCUUAUGUCCUGUUUUCUUAAUUACCGAUACAUGCACUUUUAGAAAUCUUGAUUUUAUGAUAACAAAUUGACCUAGUUUGGACUCGAGCUCUUCUAGGAUGAAGUAGGACACACUUAGAAGUUUCGAAUGCCGCUGAUUUCAUAUCAAUCGCUCAUCGUUUGGACUAUUUUCCAUUUCUUUUCAAAGCCAUAUCACAAUCUGGACAAUGGAUCAAAUUUGGACCCAUGUUUUAACCCCUGUUUGGACAGAACUUUGAUAUUUUUUGUUCAUUUUUUUUCUAUUUGGAAUCUAAACUUGGUAUCUUAAUGAAACUUUAUUGUCAUCAUGUUGGCUAUGUUGUGUAUAAAUUUGAUGAUUUUUAGACAUGUUCUAAUAGGAAAAAUUCUCAUGACAUUAGCUGAAUGUCCCGUUAUUUUGACAAAUAUCUGAUGUACUAUUGCUUGUUGUCUGAUUUUUGUAAAUUCAUGUGUAGCUAGUUCAAGAAAACUUUCUUCACGAAAGUUGUUCAUUAUCAUGUCAUACAUAUUAGGAAAUUUUUCCAUAGCUAGAUUGUCAAUGGGUAUUACUCAAUUUUUCUGUCCUUAUACGUUUGUUCUGAAAUUUUAUGAUACAAACAUGAUUGUGAUUGUUUAGCUACAUCUUUUAGGUUAGUUUGUGCAUAAAAUUAGGACAUGCUAUCUUCAUGAAAAUUGUUUUAAAUGCUUUGAUCUUUGUUGUUAAACAACCGGCCUUUUCAAAUUGCAUCUUUCGAAAAAAAAAUGUUUUGGUACAUGUGAUGUUUCUAAAAAACAAUUCCUAAAAAUAUUAUUCUCCAAAACUCAAUUUGGCUUAAGGAAAUCAUAGUUUGGACCAUAUUCAAAAUGCUUACAACGCUUGUUACUUCUAAUGUGAGGCCCGGGCUAGCCUUGGCAAUUGAAUGUGUUCCAUAACCUAGAUAUUCCUUAAUCCUAAAUAUUUUCAAACAUGUUUAAAAAAUCCAGAUUUGACAACGUGAAAGUCACUGUUUGAAUUGUAUUCAAAAUGCCUACGACGCUUGUGACUUCUAAUGCGAGGCUCAGGCUAGCAUUGGCAAUUGAAUGACUUUCAUAGCUGAGAUAUCACCUUGUCUCAAAACUUUUCAUGAAUGAUGUUGAGAUAUGUUUUUUUUUUUUUUUUUUUAAAUAUCACAUGUACCCUUCAUACAUAUCAUCACAUCAUGCAUUAGAAAUUGCUUGUAUUUGUGAUUGACACAUGCCCUUGGUAAUAAGUGACCCGCCGACGGUUCACUUUCUUGCUUGAUUGGUUCAAAAGAUCUGCAUGCAUGUUUAAUUUUUUUUGCAAUGUAUGUGAUCUUUAGAUGAAUUGUCACAUCCCAAACCUCGAGCGUGCACACAUCCCUCAAUGGUCGAUGAAAUUGCGACGUCCCAGGACGCGUUGCCGACUCAUUCAUUUUAUUGUACAUGCAGAAGCGAAUAAACAAAUCCUCUAAUAGCAAACAGCAUAGGAUAAAAAAGCAGGAUAACAAAUUCACAACAAAAACACACUUUUAUAAACAAACUAGGUUUAUAUACAAAACUAGUAUGUUUACCAAAAAGGUCGGCCCUCAAAAGGAAACUGUUCUACAACCCACUAGUCGGACGUAUUCACUCAUUCUUCGGACUCCACAGGCUUCGGGGGCGCUAGGUCCUCCACAGCACCAUCAGGAGGGUCAGUUGCACCCUUACCAAAAGCGGCGUCGACUACCACUUCGGGAAUCUCAAAAACCCUGAAGGAGACCAACUCUGUAUCCGUUGAGUCCAUGGCGGAACCAUGCCCUGAAUCGAUGAGGUGCCCCUUCAGGUAGGCUCUCAUCGACCUAUACAAUGGUCACGACCAACUUAUAGACCUAAUGACUAACAGGGACAGGGACGUCUAUACCCUACUCAGUAAUAGCCCAAGGCUGACCAAAACGUUCUAGAAGAACCACUAUCUAAGGACCUGAAAAGAAUUGAGCUCAAGACAGGGUGAGAUAAUGUCUCAGCAAGUUGACCCUCUAAACUCUGACUAGGAAGGAAAUAUGCCUAAAGACAGUUUAUACACACAAAAUAGAGGACUUACCUCGCCUCGGUUCCCUCCUGCAUGUCAAUACAAUUCACUUACUUAAUUAGUCAAUCAAUCCAUCAAUUCAAUCAAUUCAAUCAAUACAAUCGAUCAAUCGAUCAAUCAAUCCAUUAGUUAAUUGAUCCAUGAAUUACAAGGGGGUCUCGAUUAUAAGACCAAAUCAAUAUGACACGUAUUAUAUCGUGCCACACAAUUUUGUUCCAUAAUCCGGAGCUUCAAUUUCAAUCAAACACACUUUUCAACUUGAUUACUGCCCGCAUAGGCACAAUACACCGAUGCACAUCGAUCUUCUAGCGUAGCCAGGCUUCGUCUUACUCAUUUGAGUAUGGCAACAUCCACCAACACACAUUGAGGACAUCAUUCCCGAAGGAGCAUCGGUCCAGAAUCUAUUGUGACUGACAUCUGUUGUCCAAGGGCAUCCCAUAUAGGGGCAACGUCCUACCGACGCACAUUGGGGACGAGUUCACUUAGCCAUCACACGAUCAAUCAAUCACAACCAAUGACAUUAUGCUUUGCACUCAACUGUCUACGGAGGAGUAGGUGAACGUACUCGUGAAGGAAAUGAUCUUUACAUGGAAAUGAAAGAAUCUGGAGUAAUUAAUGAACAAAAUAUUGCAGAAUCUAAGGUCGCUCUAGUCUACGGUCAGAUGAAUGAACCCCCCGGAGCUCGUAUGAGAGUUGGUUUGACUGCCCUAACUAUGGCGGAAUAUUUCCGAGAUGUUAAUGAACAAGACGUACUUCUAUUUAUCGACAAUAUCUUCCGUUUCGUCCAGUUAUAUCAGAGUAAUUAUGUUAGAGUUGAGUCGUAUAGCUUCUCAUCUGUUAUGGCUUGGCCCCUUUAUGGCAGAUAUUGGUGCACAGACCCCUUUUUUCUAUAUUUUCAGAGAAAGAGAAUUGCAGCUGCUACUGCUGUUUUCUUGAUCUACCCAAUUGGUCAAGGAAGUUUUUCGGAUGGUAUGCCUCUAGGAAUUUCUGGUACUUUCAACUUCAUGAUUGUAUUCCAGGCUGAGCACAACAUCCUUAUGCACCCAUUUCACAUGUUAGGCGUAGCUGGUGUAUUCGGCGGCUCCCCUGAUAAUAUCCAUAAAUGGCUUGUUUUUGGUAAAAGAUGGACAUUACUAUAUGUAAAUUCAGGUGCAUGGUACACAUCGGUGCUCCAGUGCAUUUCUCCCUCUGAUUCAGAAUAAAUAUGUUUUCGAACCCUCUCUUUCAAAUUGAAAGUGUAUGUUCCCGUGCGAAUUUCAGCAAUCACUUGUUCUAAUUCUACAUAUUGAUUAUUUUGAACCAAAAGAAAACUUUUUGGUGGAAUAGUCACGUUAUGUAGAAUAUCUUCACUCUCAAUAGUUACAUACAAGUCUAUAGAACAUAGAAAGGCAGGAUGCCCAUGACGCGUACGUGUGGGAUGAACCAAAUCGUCAUUGAAUUUGAUUUUUCUAUUAAUUCUCUCCUACGCGCUCUUCUAGAGCGCGUGUAACUUAUGUGCGCGGUACAAAGUUCAUAAUGUGGAACUCUUUUAAUUCAUCCUAUUGGCUCAGCUCAUUCAAAAUAAAAAGAAAGAAGUAUACUCCAAAUUUGAGAAUUUCAAUGAAUCCCUAAUUGUAUUGUCUUUUUUUAUUUAGCACAUCCAUAUUAUGAAUGAUGCAUCCAGUUCAUCCUUCGGAACCAUAUCACAUCCCGGAUCUGAUGAAAUAGGAUGAAUUGAGACGGUAUUUUGUAAAUACGUAAUUAUCUUGAAUAUAUUAACUAUUUCUUUAUUUUC
rnacentral:lncRNA from 1 species